rnacentral:rRNA from 1 species
AUGGACGUCCUGGCGCCGCUGUCCCGCGCGCAUAUCGGCUCGCCGGCCGCGGCGGCCGCCUCCGCUCGCCCAUACGUUCUUCAUCGUUUCAACCGGAGGACCAUCCGCCGGCGAGGCGCCGGCCUGCGCUGCCGCCGGCGCCUGCUCAGCGCGCGGGGAGAGCGCCCGGCUCCGGAUGACGAUGAGGACGACGGGGAGGUGGCUGGGUUCGACGCAGCGGUGGCGCUAUUCAACGGCGGGGAGUACCACGCGUGCCACGACGUGGUAGAGGAGCUCUGGUACAGCGCCGAGGACCCCGGCCGGACGCUCCUCCACGGCGUCCUCCAGUGCGCCGUAGGCUUCCACCACCUCUUCAACCAGAACCACCGCGGCGCCAUGAUGGAGCUCGGGGAAGGCCUCUGCAAGCUCCGCCGCCUGCGCCUGGAGGACGACGGCGACCAAGGGCCCUUCUCUCGAUUCCGGGACGAGGUCGCCGCCGUGCUCAGCUUCCUCUACCGCACCCAGAAGGAGCUCGCGGCAUGUAACGACGAGCUGUGCUUGGCCAUGGAUGGCUCCGCGACCUCGUACCAGCUGCUCGGCGACUUCGCUGCCGGGCAGCGGCUGUACCGGCAGGGAGUCGACGCGGACGGCGUCCCGAGCAUCCUCUUCUCCGGCCGCUCAUCCGGCGACUACCUCGCUCCUCCAUGCACGGUGAAACUUCCAUCGCUACACGCCACGGAGCAGCACCUCGCGGCGCUCCAGCGCGCGCACGAGUACUCGUAG